rnacentral:lncRNA from 1 species
GCAACAAGUACCUAGAUUGAGUAAAGCAAGGGUGAGAUGAAAUAUCUCAGCAAGCGAACUUGUUUUGACAAGCUAUUUAAACCACAAGUUCAAUUAACAUCAAUUUAAUAUGUUGUUCCCAUCUGACAUGAUAUCAAAUAAAAGUAACAGUCUUCCAAUUUGAAACAUAGCCAACAAUAGAGAGCUUCAUAGUAACAUAGAUAAGAUCCCUUCAAUAAUAUACUUCUCAUGAAUGCAUAUGAAUGCAAUGCAUAUGUCUCCUGCCUGCACACCCAACAAGGUGUGGAGCUGCAUGCCAUGAUGUUGUACCGGUACGGUCGUGACCAUAGGUCGACGACAUAACUUCCAAUGCAAAUGAAUGAUGCAAUGCACUUGGCAUGCUGCAAUGAAAUUACAUACACCACC